CUCCUGGCAACCACCAUUCUACUUUCUACCUCUAAAUUUGACUACUCCAGGUACUUCAUGUUUGCUUCUGGACAAAUGCUCUCUCUUCUUCUGCUGCAUCAACUAAGGAGACCACUUGUUCCAGAUGGUACAGCUUUAGGAUGGUGGCACUUUCAACAGCUGAUCACUGAACGGCCAUAUGGAAGGCAUUUUCCCUGGACGGCUGCCCGGACCCUCAACAGACAUUUUGUAAGCAAGAAAUAAACCACUGAGAUUUGUGGGA